GUGUAACUCAGUGGCAGAGUAUUUGCCUAACAUGCAGGAGGCCCUGGGUUCAAUUCCCAGCAUAAACA